rnacentral:rRNA from 1 species
CGUUAGACGAACGGUCUGGAAAGUCCGACGAUACAGGGUGAUAGUCCCGUAGUUGACGACGUGUGUUCAGUGAAAUCGAGUAGGGCGGGACACGUGAUAUCCUGUCUGAAUAUGGGGGGACCAUCCUCCAAGGCUAAAUACUACUGACUGACCGAUAGUGAACCAGUACCGUGAGGGAAAGGCGAAAAGAACCCCUGUGAGGGGAGUGAAAUAGAACCUGAAACCGUGUACGUACAAGCAGUAGGAGCACCUUCGUGGUGUGACUGCGUACCUUUUGUAUAAUGGGUCAGCGACUUAUAUUCAGUGGCAAGGUUAACCAUCUAGGGGAGCCGUAGGGAAACCGAGUCUUAACUGGGCGUUCAGUCUCUGGAUAUAGACCCGAAACCAGGUGAUCUAGCCAUGGGCAGGUUGAAGGUUGAGUAACAUCAACUGGAGGACCGAACCGACUAAUGUUGAAAAAUUAGCGGAUGACUUGUGGCUAGGGGUGAAAGGCCAAUCAAACCUGGAGAUAGCUGGUUCUCCCCGAAAGCUAUUUAGGUAGCGCCUCGGACGAAUACUACUGGGGGUAGAGCACUGUUAAGGCUAGGGGGUCAUCCCGACUUACCAACCCUUUGCAAACUCCGAAUACCAGUAAGUACUAUCCGGGAGACACACGGCGGGUGCUAACGUCCGUCGUGGAGAGGGAAACAACCCAGACCGCCAGCUAAGGUCCCAAAUUACUACUAAGUGGGAAACGAUGUGGGAAGGCUCAGACAGCCAGGAUGUUGGCUUAGAAGCAGCCAUCAUUUAAAGAAAGCGUAAUAGCUCACUGGUCGAGUCGGCCUGCGCGGAAGAUGUAACGGGGCUAAGUAGUAAACCGAAGCUGCGGCAAUAUACUUUUGUAUAUUGGGUAGGGGAGCGUUCUGUAAGCGGUUGAAGGUGUGUGGUAACGCAUGCUGGACGUAUCAGAAGUGCGAAUGCUGACAUGAGUAACGAUAAAGGGGGUGAAAAACCUCCUCGCCGGAAGACCAAGGGUUCCUGUCCAACGUUAAUCGGGGCAGGGUAAGUCGACCCCUAAGGCGAGGCCGAAAGGCGUAGUCGAUGGGAAACGGGUUAAUAUUCCCGUACUUCUUACAAUUGCGAUGGGGGGACGGAGAAGGCUAGGUGGGCCUGGCGACGGUUGUCCAGGUUCAAGUGCGUAGGCUUAAGAGUUAGGUAAAUCCGGCUCUUUUUAAGGCUGAGACACGACGUCGAGCACCUACGGGUGUGAAGUCAUUGAUGCCAUGCUUCCAGGAAAAGCCUCUAAGCUUCAGAUUGUAAGGAAUCGUACCCCAAACCGACACAGGUGGUCGGGUAGAGAAUACCAAGGCGCUUGAGAGAACUCGGGUGAAGGAACUAGGCAAAAUGGUACCGUAACUUCGGGAGAAGGUACGCUCUCGACGGUGAAGUCCCUCGCGGAUGGAGCUAUUGAGAGUCGCAGAUACCAGGUGGCUGCAACUGUUUAUUAAAAACACAGCACUGUGCAAAAUCGUAAGAUGACGUAUACGGUGUGACGCCUGCCCGGUGCCGGAAGGUUAAUUGAUGGGGUUAGACUUCGGUCGAAGCUCUUGAUCGAAGCCCCGGUAAACGGCGGCCGUAACUAUAACGGUCCUAAGGUAGCGAAAUUCCUUGUCGGGUAAGUUCCGACCUGCACGAAUGGCGUAAUGAUGGCCACGCUGUCUCCACCCGAGACUCAGUGAAAUUGAAAUCGCUGUGAAGAUGCAGUGUACCCGCGGCUAGACGGAAAGACCCCGUGAACCUUUACUACAGCUUGGCACUGAACAUUGACCCUACAUGUGUAGGAUAGGUGGGAGGCUUUGAAGCAGGUACGCCAGUAUCUGUGGAGCCGUCCUUGAAAUACCACCCUUGUAGUGUUGAUGUUCUAACGUCGACCCCUUAUCGGGGUUGCGGACAGUGCCUGGUGGGUAGUUUGACUGGGGCGGUCUCCUCCCAAAGAGUAACGGAGGAGCACGAAGGUGGGCUAAUCACGGUUGGACAUCGUGAGGUUAGUGCAAUGGCAUAAGCCCGCUUGACUGCGAGAAUGACAAUUCGAGCAGGUGCGAAAGCAGGUCAUAGUGAUCCGGUGGUUCUGAAUGGAAGGGCCAUCGCUCAACGGAUAAAAGGUACUCCGGGGAUAACAGGCUGAUACCGCCCAAGAGUUCAUAUCGACGGCGGUGUUUGGCACCUCGAUGUCGGCUCAUCACAUCCUGGGGCUGAAGUCGGUCCCAAGGGUAUGGCUGUUCGCCAUUUAAAGUGGUACGCGAGCUGGGUUUAGAACGUCGUGAGACAGUUCGGUCCCUAUCUGCCGUGGGCGUUGGAAGAUUGAAGGGGGCUGCUCCUAGUACGAGAGGACCGGAGUGGACGAACCUCUGGUGUUCGGGUUGUGUCGCCAGACGCAUUGCCCGGUAGCUAAGUUCGGAAUCGAUAACCGCUGAAAGCAUCUAAGCGGGAAGCGAGCCCUGAGAUGAGUCUUCCCUGAUACUUUAAGUAUCCUAAAGGGUUGUCGGAGACUACGACGUUGAUAGGUCAGGUGUGUAAGUGCUGUGAGGCAUUGAGCUAACUGAUACUAAUUGCCCGUGAGGCUUAACCAUACAACACCCAAGGGGUUU